rnacentral:lncRNA from 1 species
AACCAGUGGGACAGCAGGAGCAACACUGAGGACUUCCAACCUAUGUCAAAAAGGCAAGGCAGUUGCCUUGUUUGCAAUUUAGCAAGACCCUGUCUCAAAAUAAAAAAACAAAAACAUGUUAGCUCUGAACUAUCAUGGAAGAAGUCUCACUACCCUGAGGCCACCAUGGUCCAGGUCACACCAAGAAGCCACUGAUGGGACGCACCAGGAUGUGGCUGCCCAGGGACUUUGAACAUGUCGGGGAUCACCCUCAGCAGACUCGCCCAGGAGAGAAAAGCUUGGAGGAGGGACCAUCCCUUUUGCUUGUGGUUGUCCCAAGUAAGAACCUAGACAGCACGAUGAACCUGAUGAAUUGGGAAUGUGCCAUCCCAGGAAAGAAGGGGACUCGUGGGAAGGAGGCUUGUUCAAGCUGUGGAUGCUCUUCAAAGAUGAUCAUCCAUCCUCACCACCGAAAUGUAAAUUUGAGCCACCACGAUUUCACCUGAAUGUGUGUCCUUCUGGUACGGUGUGUCUGUCCAUCCUGGAAGAGGACAAGGACUGGAGGCCAGCCAUCACGAUCAAGUAGAUCGUAUUAGGAAUACAGGAACUUCUAAAUGAACCAAAUAUGCAAGACCCCACUCAAGCAGAGGCCUACAUGAUUUACUGUGUAAAAACAGAGUGGAAUAUGAGAAAAGUGUUCAAGCAAGAAGUUUGCACCUUCGUAGACAGCAACCCUGUGGCACUGCAAAAGUGGCACACAGAAGUGACAGACAAAGCAUAGAUUUAUUGAAGGAGAAAAUACUCUAUAAAGCAGAGGAGAGAAGACAGGGACAGAAAGGAAGAGAGGGAG